UACGGAAGGCAGCAGUGGGGAAUAUUGCACAAUGGGCGCAAGCCUGAUGCAGCCAUGCCGCGUGUAUGAAGAAGGCCUUCGGGUUGUAAAGUACUUUCAGUCGUGAGGAAGGUGUUAAGGUUAAUAACCUUAGCAAUUGACGUUAGCGACAGAAGAAGCACCGGCUAACUCCGUGCCAGCAGCCGCGGUAAUACGGAGGGUGCGAGCGUUAAUCGGAAUUACUGGGCGUAAAGGGCACGCAGGCGGUUAAUUAAGUUGGAUGUGAAAUCCCCGGGCUUAACCUGGGAAUGGCAUUCAAGACUGGUUAGCUAGAGUCUUGUAGAGGGGGUUAGAAUUCCAUGUGUAGCGGUGAAAUGCGUAGAGAUGUGGAGGAAUACCGGUGGCGAAGGCGGCCCCUGGGACAAAGGACUGACGCUCGAUGUGCGAAAGCGUGGGGAGCAAACAGGGAUUAGAUA
rnacentral:rRNA from 1 species